rnacentral:lncRNA from 1 species
UAGGAUUUGAUUAGGAUUUUGUUAGGAUUUAUUUAGAAUUUAUUUAGAAUUUAUUUAGAAUUUGACUAAGAUUUAUUUAGGAUUUGUUUAGAAUUUGAUUAGGAUUUUUUAAGGUUUGUUUAGAAUUUGAUUAGGAUUUGAUUAGGAUUUGAUUAAGAUUUGACUAGAAUUUUAUUAGGAUUUAUUUAAGAUUUGAUUAGGAUUUUAUUAGGAUUUGACUAGAAUUUGAUUAAGGCUUAUUUAGGAUGUGUUUAGGAUUUGAUUAAGAUUUUUUUAGGAUUUGAUUAGGAUUUGAUUAAGAUUUGAUUAGGAUUUUAUAAAGAUUUGAUUAGAAUUUGAUUAAUAUUUAAUUAGGAUUUGAUUAGGAUUUUACUAGGAUUUUCUUUGGGCUUAUUUAGAAUUUAUUCAAGAUUUGUAUAAUCAAGGAAUUGUAUACCACAAAAUUAGUCACAAUCUAUUCACUGAAUUUUUAUCCAAUAAAAAGUAAAAAAUAAAAAAAAAGUAUUUUUUUUAAAAGAUAAUUUUUUAUCUUUCCAAUGGUAUAAGAAACAUAUA